rnacentral:rRNA from 1 species
GACAGAGGUGCCGAGCGUUAGGCGGAAUCACUGGGCUUAAAGCGUGUGUAGGCGGGCCGUUAAGUGCCCCGUGAAAUCCCCCGGCUCAACCGGGGAACGGCGGGGCAUACUGGCGGCCUUGAGCCACUUAAGGGCAGACGGAACAAGCGGUGGAGCGGUGAAAUGCGUAGAUAUCGUAAGGAAGACCAGUGGCGAAGGCGGGUCUCUGGACAGUUCCUGACGCUGAAGCACGAAGGCCAGGGGAGCAAACGGG